UACGUAGGGUCCGAGCGUUGUCCGGAAUUACUGGGCGUAAAGCGCACGUAGGCGGCUUUGUAAGUUAGAGGUGAAAGCCCAGGGCUUAACCCUGGAAUUGCCUUUAAGACUGCAUCGCUAGAAUCGUGGAGAGGUGAGUGGAAUUCCGAGUGUAGAGGUGAAAUUCGUAGAUAUUCGGAAGAACACCAGUGGCGAAGGCGACUCACUGGACACGUAUUGACGCUGAGGUGCGAAAGCGUGGGGAGCAAACAGG
rnacentral:rRNA from 1 species